GGUAAUUUCACAUAAACACGCCUCUAAACAGUCUUAAUGGGCGGUUCUUGGACAAGACCUUUAGCCAUUCAGUUUAACACAUCCCCUGCCCCUAGCAGAUUUGAAUAUUAGACGUUUUGGCAAAUGUGUUAAUGAUUCCAGCUAACAUUUAACACAUUUCACUACAUAAAAAUUUCACAGAUUUCUAUAGCCUGUAAAACCAGGUAAGUUAAGAAUACUCAAAACAUUUGUGGAAACUAAUUGUCUUAAAAUAUUUUACAUUUUUUUUCUGUUAAUAAAGCCCACAAGAGGGGCGGGGCUGAGAGCCAUGGGAGCCAAGCCAAGUCUCGCUUCCAUGAUCCCACCCCAACGGUAACACUACAAAACCAAUAUACACUCAAAAAAAAGAUUUUUGCUCUUUGUUCAAUUUAAUUAAUUAACAUGAGCACAUACAACAUAACUCUUUGUAAAAAUGGUGUCAACUUAAUUAUAUUUAACAGAAACAAUGUAAUUUUCAAAAAAUUAGGUUUACAACAUUUUUUUAAAUUGAGUCAACAAGAAUAUUUUUUGUUCAUCUUAACCGGAUGCACGUCAUCAACGGAAACGGAUGCAGAUGGAUUGCUCAGCAGCUAACAUGUGAGUUGGAUAAAUGAAUUUCAUCGGAUCACAACCCUUCCUUUACACUCCAAAAUUCAUGUCCAAACUGGAUCUGUUCUCUGAUGAUCUGCUAAAAGUGUUUACCAAAAAGGGUGGAGUGUUUAGAAAAAAGAUUCAAGAUGUGAUGCUGCCAAUGUCUCAGACCAAGCAAGAGUGCAUUCUCAAGGGGCUAUGCAUCUACCUGAAUGAAGAUGAAUAUGAUGGAGUAUUUGGAUGAUGACCCUGCAAGAACCGAAGCGGACAUAAAGAAGACCUUUUAGGGAUUCUGUGAUGUAAAGCAUGAAUUUGCUGAUGCAACAGAAGACCCCGAAGAUAUCUGCAUUGUGCUGGAAGAUGUGGAGGUGCUUUCUGGUUUAGGUAAUGUAGCAUUGGCUACAGCCAUGCUACUUGGACUAAUAUACUCUUUAAAUCUUACUCAUCCACAGGAGAUCCAUUACACUUUUAAGGUGCUCCAAAAAAUGAUUCUCGAGCUGAAUUUGUGUAAAUUGUCUGCCAAAGCACAGGCGCAGAAAACAAAGCUCUUCACUUAGGUGUGCUGUGUUUGAGGAUCCCUUUGUGAAUGCUGUUUUAUUUCUUUGUAUGCUCAUGUGAUUUUGUUGUAUCUGAAUUUUUGCACGAUGAGCAGAGGUGAUUACGUCUCUCAAUCACAUUUAAUGUUUAAGAAAACAAAAUAAAAUAACAUUUUGUUAUAUUCUUAUAUGCUCAUGUUUUAUUUGAAUUGUCAUUUUUGUAACUUAAUGAGCAUGUUUAAUUGCCAUAUUUGCAGUUUUAAGCAAGAAGACACUCGAGGUUAAAUGUGCUCAUGUUUUAAAUACAGAUUUUUACUAAAUGGAUUGACUUUUAACAUAUUGACUUUCUUCACAGUAGACUAUAGGUAUACAGUAAAAAGGUUUUAAUGUAAUAGAACACAAUUAUUUCACUUUCAUUUGGAAGUAACUGUAGAAUCAAGUUAGAAAAGUGUAAUGAUUUAAAUUGUUUCUAGUAUGCAGUACAAAAAUGUUUGUAGUUGACAUUGCAUUGUUAGAUAUAGUAGACAUGACCAAAUUGAAUGUAGUUAACAUAGCAUUAUUUUAUAUAGUAGGCAUGACAAAAUUCAGAGUAGUUAACCUGACACAACUUUCUCUAUUAGGCAUGGCUAAACAUUAUCUAGUAGAAUGGACCAAUUUUCUUCUUGUUGUCUUGACUAAAAUAAUUUAAGUUUACACAACAAGAUUACAACAAAUAAAUUCAAACUAAUUCGAUAUUGUUUGGAAAAUGUAAUUCAAUUUCGUGGAAAAGUUUACUCAAAUUUUUUUAAGUUCAUUCAACAACUUUUUUUUUUGAGUGUAACAGAAACAUAUGUAAAUCAUAACAUAACACAACAUUUAAGUACUAACCUACUGUAUGUCUCUCCAUGUUAUUCUUUUGUAAAAAAAAAAAAAACUCCCACAAAAAAACACUUAAUUUCUACAUUUAUUUUCCUUGUUGGCUGAUGCAAAGCAUCCUGGGAACUAGAAAACGCAAUAAUUUUAAGUUCACCUUACUACAACAGCAUUUUGAGUUUACAGAACUUAUUCCAAUUAAGUCCAAUGAACUUUCAUUAUUAUUUGAAUGACAUUAACUUUCAUUUUUUUAUAAAUUUUUACUGUUCGGUUUUACAGUGCACACCAAAUUAUACU
ensembl:lncRNA